rnacentral:tRNA from 1 species
GCGUACGGUGGACAGUUGGGAGAGCACCUGCCUUGCAAGCAGGGGGUCAGGAGUUCGAAUCUCCUCGUCUCCACCA